GAGUUCACUCCCAACCCCUGUGAACAUACCACUUGUUGCCUCGGCGGAUCAGCCCGCUCCCGGUAAAACGGGACGGCCCGCCAGAGGACCCCUAAACUCUGUUUCUAUAUGUAACUUCUGAGUAAAACCAUAAAUAAAUCAAAACUUUCAACAACGGAUCUCUUGGUUCUGGCAUCGAUGAAGAACGCAGCAAAAUGCGAUAAGUAAUGUGAAUUGCAGAAUUCAGUGAAUCAUCGAAUCUUUGAACGCACAUUGCGCCCGCCAGUAUUCUGGCGGGCAUGCCUGUUCGAGCGUCAUUUCAACCCUCAAGCACAGCUUGGUGUUGGGACUCGCGUUAAUUCGCGUUCCUCAAAUUGAUUGGCGGUCACGUCGAGCUUCCAUAGCGUAGUAGUAAAACCCUCGUUACUGGUAAUCGUCGCGGCCACGCCGUUAAACCCCAACUUCUGAAUGUUGACCUCGGAUCAGGUAGGAAUACCCGCUGAACUUAAGCAUAUCAAUAAGCGGAGGAAA
rnacentral:rRNA from 1 species